rnacentral:rRNA from 4 species
UGUCGUCAGCUCGUGUUGUGAAAUGUUGGGUUAAGUCCCGCAACGAGCGCAACCCUUAUCCUUUGUUGCCAGCGGUCCGGCCGGGAACUCAAAGGAGACUGCCAGUGAUAAACUGGAGGAAGGUGGGGAUGACGUCAAGUCAUCAUGGCCCUUACGACCAGGGCUACACACGUGCUACAAUGGCGCAUACAAAGAGAAGCGACCUCGCGAGAGCAAGCGGACCUCAUAAAGUGCGUCGUAGUCCGGAUUGGAGUCUGCAACUCGACUCCAUGAAGUCGGAAUCGCUAGUAAUCGUGGAUCAGAAUGCCACGGUGAAUACGUUCCCGGGCCUUGUACACACCGCCCGUCACACCAUGGGAGUGGGUUGCAAAAGAAGUAGGUAGCUUAACCUUCGGGAGGGCGCUUACCACUUUGUGAUUCAUGACUGGGGUGAAGUCGUAACA